GCGGCGGCGAGGGGUCGGGCGCUUCUACUGCGGCGGUCGGGCGUGGCCCCGGGCCUGGGCGCGGCCUAACGUUGGGUGGACAGGGCCAGCGUGGGACAUCAUCCCACAGGACCCGGGAGCGCCGCGAAGGCGGUCUCCUUAAAGCCAAACAGUUGCAGAGGACAGCCUAGUACUUGCAGGGCAAAGACUGCCAUUUUCAGGACAAAACAAUGAUAUCCCACAGACCAUUUUGCUGUGCAGACAGGAGAGUGAAAGGCUGAAAGAUGAAGAGGAGCACCAGCUGAAGACAACUGCAAUCACAGCCCUGUUAGAUGCAGUGAGUGAAGGACUUGCUGCUGCCAUGAACUUUUGGGGGCAGUGGGAAGGGAAGCAUCUGCGUGCAUUGGUAACUUUGCCAAAGUCUCAUUAAUCAUUCAACUAGGCUUUAAGUCCAUGAGGGCAAGAACUGUAUUAUGUGUAUCAUCAUAUCUUCACGCUAGCACAGUGCCUGGCACAGCACGUACUGAAUGAAUAAAGGAUACCUCCU